rnacentral:rRNA from 1 species
CGGGAUAAAAGCCCACCAAGCCUAUGACGGGUAGCCGGUCUGAGAGGAUGGUCGGCCGCAAUGGGACUGAGACACGGCCCAUACCCCUACGGGGGGCAGCAGUGGGGAAUCUUGGACAAUGGACGAAAGUCUGAUCCAGCAAUUCUGCGUGCGGGAUGAAGGUCUAUGGAUCGUAAACCGCUUUUCUGAAGGAAGACGAAUGACGGUACUUCAGGAAUAAGCGACGGCUAACUUCGUGCCAGCAGCCGCGGUAAUACGAAGGUCGCAAGCGUUAUCCGGAGUUACUGGGCGUAAAGAGUUCGUAGCUGGUCUAGUAAGUCUGAUUUUAAAGACUCUGUCUCAAGCAGAGGAAGGGGUCAGAUACUGCUAUUCUGGAGAUAACUGGGGGUUAGUGGAAUUACCGGUGGAGGGGUGAAAUCCGUUGAUAUCGGUAGGAACGCCAAAAGCGAAAGCAACUAACUAUGGUUUUCUGACAGUCAAGAACGAAAGCUCGGGGAUCAAACGGGAUUAGAUACCCCGGUAGUCCGAGCCGUAAAUUAUGUCUGCUAAGUGUUUGGGCUUAUACCCCAAGUGCUGUUACCUAACGGGUUAAGCAGAUCGCCUGGGUAGUAUACUCGCAAGAGUGAAACUCAAAGGGAUAGGCGGGGGAACACACAAGAGGUGGAUUGUCUCGAGUAAUUGGAUAAUAAGCCAGAAAUCUUACCUUCACUUGACAUGCUAUGUGUCAUACGGGUGAUCCGUAUUACCCUUCGGGGGCGUAGCACAGUUGGUGCAUGGUUGUCGUCAGUUCGUGCCUCAAGGUGUCGGGUUAAUUCUCGAAACGAACGCAACCCUCAUCCUAUGUUACUAUGUCAUAGGAGACUGCCCGGGUAACCGGGAGGAAGGUGUGGAUGACGUCAAAUCAUCAUGCUACUUACGUGAAGGGCUUCAGAGGCAAUACAAUGGGGUGGUACAAUCAGAAGCA